rnacentral:rRNA from 1 species
UAGAGUUUGAUCCUGGCUCAGGACGAACGCUGGCGGCGUGCCUAAUACAUGCAAGUCGAGCGGAAAUUUUAUUGGUGCUUGCACCUUUAAAAUUUUAGCGGCGGACGGGUGAGUAACACGUGGGUAACCUACCUUAUAGAUUGGGAUAACUCCGGGAAACCGGGGCUAAUACCGAAUAAUACUUUUUAACACAUGUUUUAAAGUUGAAAGACGGUUUCGGCUGUCACUAUAAGAUGGACCCGCGGCGCAUUAGCUAGUUGGUGAGGUAACGGCUCACCAAGGCAACGAUGCGUAGCCGACCUGAGAGGGUGAUCGGCCACACUGGGACUGAGACACGGCCCAGACUCCUACGGGAGGCAGCAGUAGGGAAUCUUCCACAAUGGACGAAAGUCUGAUGGAGCAACGCCGCGUGAGUGACGAAGGAUUUCGGUUCGUAAAACUCUGUUGCAAGGGAAGAACAAGUAGCGUAGUAACUGGCGCUACCUUGACGGUACCUUGUUAGAAAGCCACGGCUAACUACGUGCCAGCAGCCGCGGUAAUACGUAGGUGGCAAGCGUUGUCCGGAAUUAUUGGGCGUAAAGCGCGCGCAGGUGGUUCCUUAAGUCUGAUGUGAAAGCCCCCGGCUCAACCGGGGAGGGUCAUUGGAAACUGGGGAACUUGAGUGCAGAAGAGGAUAGUGGAAUUCCAAGUGUAGCGGUGAAAUGCGUAGAGAUUUGGAGGAACACCAGUGGCGAAGGCGACUGUCUGGUCUGUAAC